UUCAGAGAUAUCAAUCAGCUGAUAGUCGGUACGGUUAACAUGUGGCACAUCACAAUUGUGGGAGGACGGAACGAUAUCUUCCAGUUUCUUUCCAUUGAAAAUGUCAAUUGCCACAAAGUGACAUUUAGCAUGUCCGUGCUUUCCAGUUUUUGAAGUGGAGACCUCAACAACCUUGCAGGGACGGCCUUUGAUAACGAUGUAACCAUUCUUACGGAUGGUUCCAGCUUGCUGUGGGAAAGUUUUUGAGGCACCAGCAUCUGCCUUUGACUCAAAAUGGUGUUCUUCGUCCGACAUGCUUCUCUCUCUAGGAUUCCCUUUCUCUCUCUAGGAUUCUUUUGUGCUAUUUGGGGGAAAGAGCAAAAAAGGACUAACACAAAAUUU
rnacentral:misc_RNA from 1 species